rnacentral:lncRNA from 1 species
CUAUAUAAAAUCUUAGAUUAAACGUCUUCCUCCAUCAGACUGUUCCAAUGUAAGUUAUUUUUCUUGGAUUCUCUUAUGAUGAACCCAUCUGGAACAAAGGUGUGGCUUUUGGAGUCCGGUGCUUAGAUGUGGAGACCUGUGACUAAGCAGGAACUCUGCACUUAGGAUUGUGGCAGCGGCCAAGAGGGCUCUGACUCCGAGGAGAAGGGUGGGGCAGAUCCAUCCUGGAAAUGUUAAGUGGACUUUUGUAAUAUUUCUUGAUUUACCAACUUACAAAUGAGUCAUGUUCCAAAUGUGUCUCUGUAAGAAGUAUCGGUCAUUCAGUCUACAAAUCUACAGAGGAAAGCUACUUGCCUACUUAAUUUAGUAUCAUCAGAACAGAGUCCUAUUACUGAGGGACCCAAGACCUUAGAAGGCAGUAAGUCUGUCAUGACCUGUGUAAUAUGUAUACACAAAUAUGUGCCCAGAACAAAGAUUCAGCUUUUAGCCAUUGAAUGGAUGUUGCCUCAGAGACAAACUGAAACCUUUAAUUUAGAAAGGUCAAGUUCACUCACAGCAUCCAUCCAGAGCCAUCACCAGUCAUCUUGAUUUUUGCUUUUGCCACUGGACUUCAGUGACAUUGGAUAAAAGACAGUCCUUCUGGUAGUGGCAAGGAACUGGAAAUUGAGUGCCCAUCAAUUGGGGAAUGGCUGAAUGAGUUAUGGUAUAUGAAUGUAAUGGAAUAUCAUUGUUCUAUGGGAAGUGACAAGCCGGCUGAUUUUAGAGGGGCCUGUAAAGACUUGCAUGGACUGGUGCUUGGUGAAAUAAACAGAACCAAGAGAACAUUGUAUACAGCGGCAACAAGAUUAUGUGAUGAUCAACUAUGAUGGACUAGGCUCUUUUCAACCAGAUAGUGAUUCAAGGCAAUUUCAAUGGACUUGUGAUAGAAAGAGCAAUCUGCAUCCAGAGAGAGGACUAUGGGGACUGAAUGUGGAUCAAAGCAUAGUAUUUUCCAGUAAGUAAAUAAAUAAAAGAUCCUUUUAUAGAACUCAAAAUAGAAGGCUUAUUAAAGGC